rfam:Camelus ferus unplaced genomic scaffold scaffold427, whole genome shotgun sequence.
GGAAGUAUAGCUCAGUGGUAGAGCACAUGCUUGGCGUGCCAGAGGUCCUGGGUUCAAUCCCCAGUGCCUCCG